UUACUCAUCAAAAUCAGUAGCCCAAAUCAUUUUUAGUCCUUAUGCCACCUUAAAUAACUUUGGUCACCAUCAACAACAGACCGAUAGUUUUUUCUACUCAAAGAUGAUGGAGGUAGGCUACGUACAUUGGAUCAACGAUUUACCAAAAUUUCAGACUCUGGUUGGCUCAGUUGCUGCAGAACUUCAAAUGGACACCUUUUGAUAGCGGUGUGGAUUUGUCUGAGUGCUUGAAGCUUUCUCUUGAGAUGAAGAACCCACUAGUUUAUGGUGCUGUUCCAAAAAAAUGCUUGAAGUUUGCCUUGAUUCUGAGGUAUUAUUCAUUCUUCAUGGGUGAUACAUGGAUUCUGAGCUAUGGUUCCUUCUUCAUGGGUGGAUGGAAAAAGUUGUGUAAUAGAUGGAUCACCAUUGGAAAUUAAGUUUAGUGAAGGAAAUUUAAGUUUGGGUUUUAUUGUUCUUAGGUUUUUGGUUCGGAGGUGAAAGCAGGUUGGUCCAGCCUAGCUCGGGUGAUGUACUCAGGGGAGGGCGAUGUAAUGUAUUCUUUUAUUUUUUCUUC